AGGCUGUGAUGAGCUAAGAGUUUCUGACCUGGUAUUGCCAACCCUCUAUUGGGUGUCUCUGACCAGGAGAUGAACAUUUAAUCUUCUCUCUGAGCUA